rnacentral:rRNA from 1 species
AACGAACGCUGGCGGCAUGCCUAACACAUGCAAGUCGAACGAGACCUUCGGGUCUAGUGGCGCACGGGUGCGUAACGCGUGGGAACCUGCCCUUAGGUUCGGAAUAACUCCCCGAAAGGGGUGCUAAUACCGGAUAAUGUCUUCGGACCAAAGAUUUAUCGCCUUUGGAUGGGCCCGCGUUGGAUUAGCUAGUUGGUAGGGUAAAAGCCUACCAAGGCGACGAUCCAUAGCUGGUCUGAGAGGAUGGUCAGCCACACUGGGACUGGGACACGGCCCAGACUCCUACGGGAGGCAGCAGUGGGGAAUAUUGGACAGUGGGCGAAGGCCUGAUCCAGCAAUGCCGCGUGAGUGAUGAAGGCCUUAGGGUUGUAAAGCUCUUUUACCCGGGAUGAUAAUGACAGUACCGGGAGAAUAAGCUCCGGCUAACUCCGUG